GGUGGGAUGGCCGAGUGGUCUAAGGCGUUGGAUUUAAGUUCCCAAUGGAGGAAACUCCGCGCGAGUUCGAACCUCGCUUCCACCA
rnacentral:tRNA from 1 species